rnacentral:rRNA from 1 species
AUUGAACGCUGGCGGCAGGCCUAACACAUGCAAGUCGAGCGAGCGGCGGACGGGUGAGUAAUGUAUGGGGACUGCCCGAUAGAGGGGGAUAACUACUGGAAACGGUGGCUAAUACCGCAUACUAUCGGAUAACCCAUAUGGGAUUAGCUAGUAGGUGGGGUAAAGGCGCACCUAGGCGACGAUCUCUAGCUGGUCUGAGAGGAUGAUCAGCCACACGGGGACUGAGACCCGGCCCAGACUCCUAGGGGGGAAGCAGGGGGGAAUAUGCCACAAUGGGCGCAAGCCUGAUGCAGCAAGGCCGCGUGUAUGAUGAAGGCCUUAGGGUUGUAAAGUACUUUCAGCGGGGAGGCGUUACCCGCAGAAGAAGCACCGGCUAACUCCGGGCCAGCACCCGCGGUAAUU